UAGAAACAAUGUACGAGGGUCGUUCAAGUUAAUCUGGGACUUUUUUAAAAACAAAUAGAAGAACAAAUUUCAAAGUGUGGAAGUCAGUCGAUUUAUUUUUCCACAUAACCUCCAGCUACAGUUAUACACUUAUCCCAGCGCUUAACUAACACCUGGAAUGCUUCAGCAUAGAAAGAUUUAUUAUUACGACGGAACCAUUGUAGGACACCGUUCUUCACUUCAUCAAUGUUCAAAUGUUUUCCUCCAAGGAAUUCCUUCAAGGGGCCCUAACAGGUGGAAAUCACUUGGUGCUAAGUCAGGACUAUAGGGGGGGUGUGGUAAUAUGUCCCAGCAAAGUUCCUGGAUUGUUUGAAAUGUGCGUUGAGCGGUAUGCGGUCGCGCAUUGUCUUGUAAAAAGACCACACUCUUUGUGAUCAAACCCGAACGUUUCUUCCGUAAACUCUUGUGCACAUCACGCAGAACAAGGCAGUAACACUCACUGUUGAUAGUGACACCAUGGGGUAAAAAAAUCAACGUGAAUAAUUCCCUGUUUAUCCCAGAAUACACUUGCCAUCACUUUACUAGCAGACACAACUGUUCAAAAUUUCUUGGGAGGUGGUGAUUCCGUAUGCUUCCACUGCAUCGAUGCUCUUUUGGAUUCUGGGGUGAAAUGGUGAACCCAUUUUUCGUCACAUGUCAUCAUGCGAUUCAGAAAAUCCUAGCCUUACCUUUCAUAGCGUUCCUUUAGUUCUCUACAGAUUUCAACUCUUCUGUGUCUGUCAAAAGCAGACAGCUGCUUUGGGACCCAGCGUGCACUCACUUUUCGGAACAACAAAUGAUCAUGAAUUAUUGUGUUCACUGUUCUUAACGACGGAUUACACACCCUUGCAAUUUCACGACAGGUUAUGCGACAAUCGUCCAGGAUCAGCUAACUCCACGCGCUGAAUGUUCUCAGGAAUGACUACCGUGGGCUGUGAUCCACCACGACCGGGAUCAUCAGUAAUAGAGUUACGGCUAGCUAUAUUUGAAGCGCUUACACCAUUCAAAUGUCUUACUGCAACUGAGUGUAUCAUCACCGUACUGAGCCUGAAGUCUUCUUUAAAUUUCAGCCGGUUUUAUGCCCUCAUUCA
rnacentral:lncRNA from 1 species